GACGUAGGGCGCGAGCGUUGUCCGGAUUUAUUGGGCGUAAAGAGCUCGUAGGCGGCUUGUCGCGUCGACUGUGAAAACCCGUGGCUCAACUGCGGGCCUGCAGUCGAUACGGGCAGGCUAGAGUUCGGUAGGGGGAGACUGGAAUUCCUGGUGUAGCGGUGAAAUGCGCAGAUAUCAGGAGGAACACCGGUGGCGAAGGCGGGUC
rnacentral:rRNA from 1 species